rnacentral:rRNA from 1 species
GUGAGGAAUCUUCCGCAAUGGGCGAAAGCCUGACGGAGCGACACCGCGUGGAGGAUGAAGGUCUUUUGAUUGUAAACUCCUUUUCUGGGGGAAUAACUGAUGAAGGUACCCCAGGAAUAAGCACCGGCAAACUACGUGCCAGCAGCCGCGGUAAUACGUAGGGUGCAAGCGUUAUCCGGAAUUAUUGGGCGUAAAGCGUUCGAAGGCUGUUUGACAAGUUUGGGGUUAAAUCCGGUCGCUCAACGACCGAAACGUCUCAAAAACUAGCAAACUAGAGAAUGAUAGAGGCAACUAGAAUUCUGCAUGUAGGGGUAAAAUCCGUUGAUAUGCAGAGGAAUACCAAAAGCGAAAGCAGGUUGCUGGGUCAUUUCUGACGCUGUUGAACGAAAGCGUGGGGAGCAAACAGGAUUAGAAACCCGAGUAGUCC